rnacentral:ncRNA from 1 species
AGACUAGGUUGACGCGCGUUAAGUACCGUCGGACGGAGGAGUGCCGGCGGGCGAAAAGCAUCUGCUUGCGGUGCGUCCUCCGCUCCCGCU